rfam:Oryza barthii chromosome 1, whole genome shotgun sequence.
AAAAAGACAAACCGUGGGUUCCCGUGCCAACGUUUGACUGUCCAUCUUUAUGAUUUUUUUUAUAAUUAGUAUUUUUAUUGUUGUUAGAUGAUAAAACAUGAUUAAUACUUUAUGCGUGACUUAUCUUUUUAAUUUUUUUCAUAAUUUUUUUAAAUAAGACGGACGGUCAAACGUUGGACACAGAAAGCAGGGUUUGUCUUUUU